rnacentral:sRNA from 2 species
AUAUCUGUAUAGCCGAGUCUUAUUUAAGAACGGGGGACCCAUUUUUGGGGCGAAUCUAAGCUUAUUAAAUUAAGUUUGGUAAGGUACCCUUUAGCCUGAGCCCGACAGCUAACUCCGUAGGCAUUUUUUAAGGGGGAUA